ensembl:lncRNA
AUGAGGUCGUGCUUGUGGAUUUUCGUCCUUGGGAGUUUAAUCGUGACUGGAGUCAAGAUGCAAGAUUCUCCAGCAGAUGACCUUGCGCCAGAGGAAUCAGCCGUUCCUGAUGAAGCUGCAGAUGCUGAAAAACCAGCUGAAGAUCCUGCACCUGAAGAAACACCAGAGGAAACACAUGAGGAAACACCUGAGGAAACACCUGAAGAAACACCUGAGGAAACACCUGAAGAAACACCUGAGGAAACACCUGAGGAAACACCCGAGGAAACACCUGAAGAAACACCUGAGGAAACACCUGAAGAAACACCUGAGGAGACACCUGAGGAGACACCUGAAGAAACACCCGAGGAAACACCUGAAGAAACACCCGAGGAAACACCCGAGGAAACACCUGAGGAAACAGCAGAAAAGGCAGCAGCUCCUGCAGAGCCUGAAGCUGAAGACACAAACCCUGACACAGACGCCGCGGCAGAAGAUGCUGAAGAAACACCAGCAGGUGAUCUGAUCUAAACAUAAAGACAUUACACUCCACAAACAACACUGAACACCCAGAAUAAAGAUUCAAAACAGCCACAGAGACCUGACAGAUCAGGACAUUUUAAAAAAGGAGUUUCUAGCAGAGAACAUGUCCUCAGCCCUGAAAUAUUUCAUAGCCAGAAGCUGCUCUUUCUGAAUGCAAUCUUUAAUGAAAUGAUUUCAAAAAUCCUUCAAAUAUCCUGUAACCAUGAAGGCCUGGAAAAGUCAUAGAAAUUCAUCGGUCGGUGGGCUGGGAAGCCUGUAAUAAUCGUGUGGUUUGGACUAUGACGUAUUUUCCUCUCUAUUGCCGUUUCGCUGAAAAAACAGACGCAGAAGAUCAGACAUGCUGGUCUGGCAACUAAAUGAGUUCAAGUUUAAAUACUAAAAUUACUAACUGGAAAUAAAAUAACUAAAAAUAUUAAAAAUCAUUCACUAAUGGGAAAAAAACUGAAGAAUAUAAAAAAAAUAAAAUAAAAUAAAAUAAAAAAAUGAAAUGAAAUGAAAUGAAAUAAAAUGAAAUGAAAUUAAAUGAAAAACAAAUGAACUUAAAACCAGAAAUUUUGCUUUGGCAACUAAAAAAUUAUCUGUUGAAAUAAGCUUGUUAAAGAACUAAAGUUUCUAAAGUUAACUGGUAAUAACAAUAAUAAUAAUAAUAAUAAUAAACUAAAAUUCUAAAAAAUAAUUUUAGUAUUUGAAAUAAAGCUCAAAUAUAUUAAAAUAUAGUAGAUACAAACCUUGGAAACUAACUGAAAUAUGUUUAAGCUGAAACACUAAAAUUAAUAAAAACUAAAACUAAAAUAAAUAAAAACUAAAUAGAAAUAUUUUUUAAAAUAAUUUGAAAACAUAAAUAAAAUGACAAUAAUAAAACACACCAAAUAAAGCACACCAAAACUAAAACAAAAAUGAAAACUGAAAAAAAAGAUGAGAGUAAUACAAGAGAUGCAGAGUUUAAAGCAGUGCUCAAUAAACACUUGGAUGUGAAUAAUGGUGUCGUUCACACUCAACUGAUGUUAUCAAAUGAAAGCACAACAAACAUCAUGUGUUUCUCUGGUUCUGCUCCAUCAGCUGAAGAGGAACCUGCUGCUGCUGCUGAAGAAGAAGAAGCAGAAGCUCCAGCUGAAGCAGAAGCCGAUGCACCUGUCGGAGAUCCUGAAGUUACUGAAGAAGACGUGACCGCUGUACUGGAGGAACCGGUGCACUCUGGCGACGCAGUGGAAGUUCAUUCUGUAGGAUUUGAUCUUGCUGAUGCGUUCCCUGAAGAUAUAGAAGAGAAAGCACAACCAGAGGAUCCAGGAGAGAAUGCAGUGGGAGGUGCAGACCGGCACAGCGCAGGUCAAGGCAAAGCUCGCAGCGCUGGAGCCGUUUCUGAGCCGAACGACAGCGGAUCCAGUACGGUUGUUGGUGUUGUUUGUGGGAUCGCAGUAGCAGCUGUUGGAGCCAUAACCGGAUACUUCACCUAUCAGAAGAAGAAACUGUGCUUCAAGGUCCAGAGAGGUGACCCGGAGAGCGCCAAAGAAGAGAACGGCACGCAGAGCGACCCACAGGUUUUAAGCACUCUCCUGAACUCAUCUUAACUCCAGCAGUGAAGCAGCCGAGUCCUGUGAAGCGACUGUGAACUGCUUUACACAGGAAAUACUCACAACUGAGUCAACUUCACAAACACAUUCACAGAACAGUACGUCAGCACAAAUAUCUUCCUGACGCAGAUUAGGGCUUUUUCAUAAUAUCUCAUCUUCCUACUGCUUCGACUACAGUUCUGGACUAGCACUAGGACUGUUAAUAAUUGUUUUGAAUGUAUUUUCACAUAGUUUGAGAGGGAUGGGAUGUGUGUGUGCGUGUAUGCAUGUGUAAUUCGACAGCCUUCUGGGAGAGGCAUUUCAUUUCGUUACUUUAAAAAGUGUCAUUAAUCACACAGUUUUGUUUGAUUCACAAAAAAGAAAAAGCAAAUCUCAUACCGUGGAAUGAUUCACUUUAAAAUUGUGUUGUCUGACCAAAUAAAAUUCGUAGGACGUCUCUUUUGAUUUUGUUU